UAAAAACCCGGAACAUGCGGCAUAUGAUUCAGCACCGGUCAAAUAUAGCAGCCCACUGAACAUAUUACGAGUCUACAAGGUACACAAUUUUGACCCAACAAAUUAAUCCGGCAAUACAGUCAACAGAAUCCCAGCAAUCUCAAACAUAGUAGCUUACACGGCAAGGACUUGAGAAAAGAACAGCCAGAAUAGAUUCAGAAGACCCAGACAACUCGCAACUUAGAAGCACUUCCGGUGGACAAUCGCUGGACCUGACUCGUCAUACUCGCCCUUCGAGAUCCACAUCUGUAGCAUAAAAAUCAGAACACAUGGUUAGUACAGCAAAUAGGGAGUGUAUUUACUGUAACUACUGCAAUGAUAUUAGGAUGUAUGAUCGCUAUUUAAGCGAAAGAAAGGCGCAAGAUUCACCUGUUGGAAGGUACUAAGGGAGGCAAGAAUCGACCCUCCAAUCCAGACACUGUACUUCCUCUCAGGCGGUGCCACCACCUUGAUCUUCAUGCUGCUUGGUGCAAGGGCAGUGAUCUCCUUGCUCAUACGGUCAGCAAUACCCGGGAACAUAGUUGAGCCACCACUGAGCACGAUGUUACCAUACAGAUCCUUCCUGAUAUCCACAUCACACUUCAUGAUAGAGUUGUAGGUGGUCUCAUGGAUUCCAGCAGCUUCCAUACCAAUGAAAGAUGGCUGGAAAAGGACCUCAGGGCAACGGAACCUCUCUGCCCCAAUGGUGAUCACCUGCCCAUCAGGCAGCUCAUAGCUC
rnacentral:lncRNA from 1 species